CUCCCCCCCCCAGGCUGAUGAGCAGCGCGCAGAACAACGUGGGGCGGGGGCUGAACGUGGCGCUCGUUAACGGCGUGACCGGGGAGCUGCUGGCGGCGCGGAGCUUCGACAUGUGGGCGGGAGGUGAAGGGGAGCCGUGGGGGG